rnacentral:rRNA from 1 species
CCUACGGGAGGCAGCAGUGAGGAAUAUUGGUCAAUGGACGAGAGUCUGAACCAGCCAAGUAGCGUGAAGGAUGACUGCCCUAUGGGUUGUAAACUUCUUUUAUAUGGGAAUAAAAUGUUCCACGUGUGGGAUUUUGUAUGUACCAUAUGAAUAAGGAUCGGCUAACUCCGUGCCAGCAGCCGCGGUAAUACGGAGGAUCCGAGCGUUAUCCGGAUUUAUUGGGUUUAAAGGGAGCGUAGGUGGAUUGUUAAGUCAGUUGUGAAAGUUUGCGGCUCAACCGUAAAAUUGCAGUUGAAACUGGCAGUCUUGAGUACAGUAGAGGUAGGCGGAAUUCGUGGUGUAGCGGUGAAAUGCUUAGAUAUCACGAAGAACUCCGAUUGCGAAGGCAGCUCGCUGGACUACAACUGACACUGAGGCACGAAAGUGUGGGUAUCAAACAGGAUUAGAUACCCUUGUAGUC